UUUCCGUCUAAAGGGAUCCGCCAAACAGGAGUAAAUAUCGACUUUUAAUGUAUCUUGUCUGUGUAGGUUCUCAUUCAGGGAGGAUUUUAAUGUAUCCUAACUCUGUAUUUGUUGACUUGCGUAAUUUAAAGCAAGGCAGGUAGCUACGGAGCUCUUGAAAUCAGCUGAAUAUAAAAGCCAGAGUGACAUAACUUCCAUCUGUCGAAGAACAACCUUAUCUGCCACCUUAUUAAAAGCACCUUUGUCUGCAGACCUGCCCUCCACCUCCCACCCAAUAAACUUCAGAUUCCUUUUCAUCAUGUCCAACCAGCCUGUUGUAAACCACCAUGAAGAAGCCUACAUCUCACUGAUGAGAGGCUUGAAAGACCUGGACCUGCGGGGCCCUUGUGUUCCCAGUGACCUGGUGCUGAUUGGAGAUCAUGCUUUUCCUUUGGCCAUGAACAGCCGAGGCCAGGUCCUGAUGGCUGCCUCUCUGUAUGGCCAUGGAAGGAUCGUGGUCCUGGGUCACGAGGGCUACCUGUCCGUCUUCCCAGCUCUGGUAGAGAACGCUCUGACCUGGCUGAGAGGAGAUGGAUCUGACAACGUCUCUGUAGGGGUGCACAGAAACGUCAAGAGUGUUGCUGAUAACCUCCAAAAAUCCAGCUUCCAAGCAGAAGUAGUGGGGGGCUUUAAGGGCAAUCUUGGAGUUGGUGUUUAUGUGACGGACGCCUACAGUGUUGGUGCAGACCCAAAGGAACUGGUGGCGUUUAUGAAAGCAGGAGGAGGUGUGCUGAUAGCAGGACAGGCCUGGAGCUGGGCUGGAGGCCACCCUAAGGAGAACACACUGCUUCUGUUUGAGGGUAAUAAGGUGUCAGGGGUGGCAGGAAUCUACUUCUCUGAGCAUCCGGGUGAAGCAGAGUACCUGUUUGUUUCUCCUCACAUCCCAACCUCCUGGAUGUCUGUCGUAAUAGGGAAAGACUUUGAGGAUGAUUUGGAGUUCUUACUGCAGGGGGUUUCAGAGUUUCACAUCCCACCUGGAUUGGUUGCUUCUGAGGUUCUAGUCCACGGCCCACUGGCUUUUCCCAUUGGGACCAUAGGCGAUGGACGGGCAUUCCUGGCAGGAGGCUACUAUGGCCAGGGUCGGGUCAUUGUGGUUACCCAUGAAGGUCUUCUAGGCCAAGAGGCACUGGCUCCAUUUUGGCUCAAUGUCAUCCACUGGUUGGAUGAAGGCCGCAGAGGCGUUGUUGGCUCAAUGUUGGAUCCUGCCAUCAAAAUCCUCAGCAAGUCAGGACUGAAGUGUGAGAAGACCGGCUUCAGGAAGGAUCUCAGUGUGUUUGUGUGUACAGCAUACAGUGAUAACCAUGUGGAGGAAAUCCAAAGUUUUGUUGCAGAGGGAGGAGGCCUGCUGAUUGGUGGACAUGCCUGGUACUGGGCACAGACACACCACGGGCAAAACCCAAUGACAGAUUUUGCAGGAAACAAGAUCUUGACCAAAAUGGGUCUGAGCCUGUUGGGGUCAACGAUCGGAGGAGGUCACUACAAGGCUCCUGUCCCCAGUCAGGCCAUCAAAGAUACCUACCACUUCCGCCAUUCUCUGCGCCGCUUCGCCAGCCAUGUAACAGUGGGUGAAAAACUUAACAAGCAUGACGAGGAGUGCCUUAUAAAGCUCGGCCACGACUGCACCACCUACUUGCGCAGGAACGCUCACCACUGCUCCGACUAUGCACAGGUGGUGUCCACUCUCACUAAUCUCUUGAUGAAGUCCGGCUUGCCAGAGGUGAGUCACAGCUGCCCUGUGAAGAGUCCCAAAGACCACCUACUCCUCAGCCUGGGAGCAGAAGUGUAUAAGGCUUGCCCAAAUCCUGAUGCCCUUCUGCCCUACCUCAUCAAGAAUAACCCGAUGAUGCCAGUUGUCUAUAACCACAACAUCAAGAUUCACGUCAACACAGCAGGAGGGGAGGAGUGGAUCAGCACAGGACUCUACCUCUCUAAAGGUAUGAAGACCUACAUCGCCAUACCUGCAGAGAUUGUCAACAAGGGAUGGCAGAUUCAGAUAGGCUGUCAGACCGACAGACUGAAGUCUCAGGAGUUGAAGAGAGCACCAUGUGUUCAUGAGCGGUUUCCUGUUACCUCAGAGAUGAUGCAGGUGUGGAACCUGUGGGGGGGACUCCUUUACCUGGUGGCUCCACCCAAAACACAAGUGGAUGGUGCAGAGGUGACUGUGCAGAUGGCUGUACCUGCACCGUAUUAUAAAUCUGGUGUGACAACUGCAGCUGACUGGUCGUUGCUGCGUACAGCUCCUUCACCCUGGGCAGAGCUGGAGUUUGACAACAUCAUCCUCACCGUGCCAUCAGAUAGUGUUCGUGGCCUGGAUCGCCCUGAGGAGCUGGCAGCUCUCUGGAACGACAUGAUGAAGGCCAUUGCUGACCUGGCGGUCAUCCCACACAAAUUCCCCCGCAAAGAGCGCUUUGUGGCCGACGUGCAGAUUUCCCACGGUUGGAUGCAUGCUGGUUAUCCUGUGAUGGCACACAGCUCCUCAGCAUUUGAGCUGGUCAGUACUGACCAUGCUCGGAAUAAAGGCCUGUGGGGCCCCAUCCAUGAACUGGGACACAACCAACAGAGGGCCUGCUGGGAGUUCCCUCCAAACACCACAGAGUGCACAUGCAACCUGUGGUCAGUGUACGUGCACGAACAAGUGCUGGGGAUCAACAGGGCAAAGGCUCAUCCAGCUGUGACUUUGGAAGAACGAAAAAAGCGAAUGGAGAAAUUCGUUAAAGAGGGCAGAAAACCUGACAGCUGGGGCAUGUGGGUGGCCCUGGAGACAUACUUGCAGCUCCAGGAAAAGUUCGGCUGGGAUGCCUUUAAGAAGGUGUUUGCUGCCUACCACAAGAUGAGCGACUUCCCCAAGAACAAGGAGGAAAAGAUGAACCUGUAUGCUGAGACCUUCUCCCAGGCUGUGGGGAUGAACCUGGCUGGGUUCUUUAAGGCCUGGAGCUGGCCCAUACAACCAGCCACUGAGGAGAAACUCUCCAAGCUUCCUCCCUGGAGUGAUCACCCCAUGGUUCAGUUUGGUUGAACAUCAGACUGCUGCAGACUGAAGAAAAAUGAAAAGCAACCUCUUGACAUGUAAUGGGGGAAUUAAUUCAGCUGGCACUGCUCUCCUUCUUUGUUACUGUUAAAUUCUAAACGUAGGUAUUGAACCAUUUGAGGUGAAGAACAGAAUCAACAAACUAUCUUUGACCAGAUACAUAUCUUUAAUUUAGCAUCUGUAUCGGAAAUUGGCAAUCGAUUGUGAUUAUCUUGAACAGGGAAAAGAGUUGUUCUAUUUUGUUGUUUUCUUAUUUAACAUCAAAGCAAUAGUAAAAGUGAUGCACAAGAAGACAGGGAUUUUUUUUCAGGGUAAUAAUACCAGUAAUACUUUUAGGGAUGUGUGGAUGUUUCUUGUAGGCUGCGUCUUCCAUUUGCUUUCAUGCUCAGUAAUAAUACUCUCAUGAUACUGAGUAAUAAUAAGUGAGUCAGGCUUUAUAACAUGGACACACCUUUGUUUUCACUACACUGAUAUUCACUGCUGCCAAAGACACUAAUAAAUAUUUACUUCACCUUGUA